rnacentral:rRNA from 1 species
AUGAAAAAUUGCGCUGAUGGCCAAGCAUGCUAUAGACUACAGCGUGUUUGGGGGGCUCAAAACUUUGAAAAAUGGAUGGACGUGCACUCAGCUCCGUCUUGCCCUACUGAGGAGAGGGCACCUGUUGAGCAUCUAAUUGGGCAGUUUGCAUCCGGAAUGACCGGCUUGCUCGGGAAGUUGGUUGAGGGGUGGACGUCUCUCAGUGGCUCUGACAGUGAUGCGGUUGCAAGUUCCCAAGAGCCCGGUGACACACAAGAUGAUCUAGAUGGAGACGCUGGCCUCAGCAAGGAUGACGACGAUGACAUGGAGAACGUGCAACAUGACACCGAUGAUGAUGAGCAUGCUGAAGUUUGCGCAGGUGGUAACAAGGACAAGGAUGCAACAGAUGUCCCCCCCCCCCACCGGAGAAAGUCAAAGAACAUACAGCUGCGAGAGGCGAGGGGGUGUUGCCAUCAAGGAGGGGGAGGUCUCCAGGAGAUGUUGGGCAGGGUUCUCGUGGCAAGAGGUCUAGGACCGAUCCCGUAG